rnacentral:lncRNA from 1 species
CCUGAGUACUAAUUAUUACAAACUAUAUUCAAAAGCUAAUUUGAAUGAAAGGGUAAUGGUGAAAACAAAUAACAAAUGCAAAACAAGGGAGUAGGGAGAACUUUCAUGCUUCAGCUCUUAUUUCAACUUCCAAUGAAGGAAUACAUAUGCCUAAUUGUGAACAAGUACCUGGAGAGCAAGGAAAAUUAGAAGUGAGAAGAGUCAACAACAGUAGUGGGAAUCAUCAGCAACAACUCAAGCUCCAAACCCAAUUUCAAGCUUGAAACCCCUAGAUGUAUCACCAAAUCAAGCUUAUAAAACCAACUUCGAGAAAAUUGAAUUUCAAUUCGUUUAAAAAAAAAUCACAGGAACUAACAAAUGGCUUCAGUAAGUCCAAAUCCUUACAGUUCAAAGCAAAGACUCGAUGGAACAAUAAAUCUGAUUAUUUAGCCUAUUUCAAUUUUUCUGGAUUUCUCUUUUUUACUUUUUGAAAUCUAAACUCUAUAUUUCAAC